rnacentral:rRNA from 1 species
ACACGCAUGACACACUGCAUAUCAAUAAGCGGAGGAAAAGGAACUAACAAGGAUUCCCUUAGUAACGGCGAGUGAAGCGGGAAGAGCUCAAAUUUGAAAUCUUCAAGGUUCUACCUUGACGAAUUGUAGUUUAUAGAAGUGUUUUCUGUUAGUAGAGUGGCAAAAGUUCUUUGGAAUAGGACAUCAUAGAGGGUGAGAAUCCCGUAUUUGGUCAUUCCUUCCUAGCUUUGUGAUACACUUUCAACGAGUCGGAUUGUUUGGGAAUGCAGUCCAAAAUGGGUGGUAAAUUUCAUCUAAAGCUAAAUAUUGGCGAGAGACCGAUAGCGAACAAGUACCGUGAGGGAAAGAUGAAAAGAACUUUGAAAAGAGAGUUAAACAGUACGUGAAAUUGUCAAAAGGGAAGCGUUUGACACCAGUGUUGUUUAGUUGAAAAUCAAUUCAAUAGUUUUUGAUUCUAAGUAGUAUUGACUUCAUCAGCUUGCUGCUUUCUUCUCAGAAAUUAUUGAAUGCACUUUUCAGUUAACAAGUCAACAUCAAUUUCUUUUGUUGUAAAAGGGUAAGAGGAAGGUGGCUUGCGCUUCGGCUCAAGUGUUUAUAGCCUUUUAUCUCUGCAAUCGGAGAGAUUGAGGUCUGCAGCGUAGAUCCUUCGGGGUUAGAUACAUUGGUGCUAAGCUAUAGCCUUGUAUAGACAACUUGUUGACUAUGCUCAGUCAUGUAGCUUACUCGCUGAUGCUAUUUUACCUACGCUUAGGAUGUUGACUGAUAUGUAGUCGU